CAAAACACGACUUGAGACUCUCCAUAAGAUACUUGGUACUCCCACUACUCAUGGAUCUCUAGCAACUCAAGGAACAGAAAUCGGGGAGGAUGAUUGGCACUGCUAAAGUUGAUGAUGGACUAUAUAUUUGGAAUAAAAACAGUACACAAGGGGGAUUGGCUCUAUCCACUGCAAAAGAGGACACUAUUAUGUUAUGGCACCGUAGGUUAGGACAUCCAAACUUUGUGUAUUUGAAAAAACAUCUUCCGCUGUUAUUUCGAAAUAAAAGUAUUAAUUCCUUGAA